GAUGAACGCUGGCGGCGUGCCUAAUACAUGCCAGUCGAGCGAACAGACGAGGAGCUUGCUCCUCUGACGUUAGCGGCGGACGGGUGAGUAACACGUGGAUAACCUACCUAUAAGACUGGGAUAACUUCGGGAAACCGGAGCUAAUACCGGAUAAUAUAUUGAACCGCAUGGUUCAAUAGUGAAAGACGGUUUUGCUGUCACUUAUAGAUGGAUCCGCGCCGCAGUAGCUAGUUGGUAAGGGAACGGCUUACCAAGGCAACGAUGCGUAGCCGACCUGGGAGGGUGAGCGGCCACACUGGAACUGAGACACGGUCCAGACUCCUACGGGAGGCAGCAGUAGGGAAUCUUCCGCAAUGGGCGAAAGCCUGACGGAGCAACGCCGCGUGAGUGAUGAAGGUCUUCGGAUCGUAAAACUCUGUUAUUAGGGAAGAACAAAUGUGUAAGUAACUAUGCACGUCUUGACGGUACCUAAUCAGAAAGCCACGGCUAACUACGUG
rnacentral:rRNA from 1 species